AUGCGCCGAAAUCGUCCUUCAUGGACAAGACAUCCUGGGCCAAAUUCGUGCGUGCUGCGAGGAAGGAGAAGACCACGAGCGACGAGCGACGAGAGGAGGCUACUGGAUGCGCGCGGCAGGCAGGUGAGAGGCGAUGCCGACGACGCACCAGUUAGAGAGACACAUCUUGAAAAGCAAGGAUUGAAGAUUAUUGACACAAAAACUUCUGCAAUUAAGAGAAGGUUCAGUUUCACUAUUACCUUUGUUUUCAAAUUAAACGGCAACUCUACUCAUAUUCACGCCAGCAGCAUGCACUUUUUUACUCAACAAGCAAGAGGGAUUAAAUAA
rnacentral:rRNA from 1 species